AGAAGAGAGAAAAAAAGUUUUCAAUUGAUUUGUUGAGCUAAAAGUUUUUUGCAUCCUUUGUGGAUGAAGAUGGGAUGAGCAGAAGUGCUCCCUUCAAGUCAACUGAGAUCUCUCUUGAUACUCACACUAAAUAGGUUGAACCAUUACGGAUUAGUUAGGUUUCACCCUCGUAAUGUGCUCUGUCUCAAUGAAAACUUUGUCUUGUUCACCUUCACCCUCCAAGUCAACCUUCAGCUCUUCAAGAGACUCUUUUCUCGACUGAUGUUUACAUAUGAAAAUGUUGAAGACGUAAGAAACUGUAAAGCCAAUGUAAACUCAUCACAAAUGAUAUUCAUAACAUAAAGUGAUGUAUCCAAUAAUGGAUGUUAAUCAUCAUUCCAACCAUCAAACCAAAUUACCUCUUUACAAUUUAAUUUGUUUCCUUUUGGAUUUUUUUCAAUUAAAAAUGUUUAAUCAACAACCAACAAAUUGUUAAUCACUAAACCAGUCAAUGUGCUUUUUUUACCUUCAAAUUCAAUACUUGAAAUGUAAAUGUUAUUGUUUUGUUAAAUGACAAGUUGAACCAAGUUUUGUUACACUUAUUACAAGUUUACAUUUUGAUUACAAAUUGAUUGUUGUUCAUUUUGUUGGUCUAAUUUGAUUAAAGCAAAAAAAACAAUGUUAAUCAAAUGCAUUCCUUGCUACCUUUUACUGUUGUCUCAAUCAGUGAAACAAGUUUUAACCAAAGGUGUAGCUGUUAUUGGUGCUGGUGGAGGUGACAGAGCAGUUUGCAUUGAAUGUGGCGGAAAUUAUACGGAAGAAGAGAUGAGACUUGCCUUGGUGAUUGUUGGAAUGAUACUUUCCCUGUUUCUUCUCAUCUUAGCCUGUCAAUGUUAUUCACGAGUCAUGUGGGAGUGCACAGAUGAUGGUGAUAUUACCGGUAAUUAUAAAGAAAUGCCAGCUCCACCAUAUUCAAAGAAGCGCACUUUUGUUACAUGAAAAUGGUCAACCACUUAGUUGGUGGUUAAAGUGAAAGAUAGUGUUAAGCACUUCAACACAAGACAAGGUUUAAUUGUCCAAAAUAGAGUUAAAUUUUUACUGUUAAAAACAAGACUCGAUUAAAGCUAGAGCCAAGGCUUACAGUCAACUUGACUGGGUUCACUAGAUGGACAUGAACCAGUGCAACCAGAUGGACGAGUUUUAAAAAUUUUUUGUAUUUCACAUCAACUUCAUCUUGUUCAUUGUAAGGAUAACAUCAACUCCAUGUUGAACAACAAAGCUGAAUCUAAUUAGGCGAGCAAAAUGUCAAAUGUAAGUGUAACUCUAUCAUCAUCAUAACAUCAUCAUCAUUAUAUCAUUGUUAAAAUUAUUGUCAUCGGGUGUAGACUUCAUUUUUUUGUAAAAAAAAUACAACCUUGUGUAUAAAAGUUGAAAAUAUUAUGCUAUUAUAAAAAUAUAUGAUAACAACUUAUUUACAGGGAUCAAAUUGUACCAUCAAUUUACCAAAAUACAAUUGUAAAUGGUCAUUAAAAAUAUUAAUAUUUCCUA